UAGCUCAGUUGGUAGAGCGGAGGACUGUAGAGUCAGUGGUUAUCCUUAGGUCGCUGGUUCGAAUCCGGC
rfam:Caenorhabditis japonica strain DF5081 Contig7041.1, whole genome shotgun sequence.